rnacentral:rRNA from 1 species
AAUUAUACCGUGAAACUGCGAAUGGCUCAUUAAAUCAGUUAUCGUUUAUUUGAUAGUACCUUACUACUUGGAUAACCGUGGUAAUUCUAGAGCUAAUACAUGCUAAAAACCCCGACUUCGGGAGGGGUGUAUUUAUUAGAUAAAAAACCAAUGCCCUUCGGGGCUCUUUGGUGAUUCAUGAUAACUUAACGGAUCGCAUGGCCUUGCGCCGGCGACGGUUCAUUCAAAUUUCUGCCCUAUCAACUUUCGAUGGUAAGGUAUUGGCUUACCAUGGUUUCAACGGGUAACGGGGAAUUAGGGUUCGAUUCCGGAGAGGGAGCCUGAGAAACGGCUACCACAUCCAAGGAAGGCAGCAGGCGCGCAAAUUACCCAAUCCCGACUCGGGGAGGUAGUGACAAUAAAUACUGAUACAGGGCUCUUUUGGGUCUUGUAAUCGGAAUGAGUACAAUUUAAACCCCUUAACGAGGAACAAUUGGAGGGCAAGUCUGGUGCCAGCAGCCGCGGUAAUUCCAGCUCCAAUAGCGUAUAUUAAAGUUGUUGCAGUUAAAAAGCUCGUAGUUGAACCUUGGGCCUGGCUGGCCGGUCCGCCUCACCGCGUGUACUGGUCCGGCCGGGCCUUUCCUUCUGGAGAGCCGCAUGCCCUUCACUGGGUGUGUUGGGGAACCAGGACUUUUACUUUGAAAAAAUUAGAGUGUUCAAAGCAGGCCUUUGCUCGAAUACGUUAGCAUGGAAUAAUAGAAUAGGACGUGCGGUCCUAUUUUGUUGGUUUCUAGGACCGCCGUAAUGAUUAAUAGGGAUAGUCGGGGGCAUCAGUAUUCAAUUGUCAGAGGUGAAAUUCUUGGAUUUAUUGAAGACUAACUACUGCGAAAGCAUUUGCCAAGGAUGUUUUCAU